GGCCAAACCAAGGUUGGAAUGCAAGUCUUCCAUCUCCCAAACUAGGACUCUUUCUCCUAAGAUAUGCAUCUGGUUGAUGGAUAUUCAGUGGAACACCCUGGCCAUCUUUAUAUAGAAGGUGGAUAUAUCCCAACAGCAGGAAAAGUUGAUGCAUUUUAAUCAAUCAAAGUGUUUUAAAGUUGUUUUUCAGGCACAACGAAGGUUCUGAAGACAACCUCACUUCAGCCUGGCAUGGAGAAUGUGGAGAGGACAGAGCACUGGCCUGAAAGUCCCACAGAUCUGGGUUCCAGUCCUACAUCUCACACUGACCAAUGAACCAUGGAAUGCUGGGAAGGCACCCAAGCUUGGCAGCUCGAUUUCCUCAUUAGCUGAGUAUAAUUUAAACUUAAAGUAAAUGGGGGGGGGGGCAGGCCUGGAGAUGGGAGGUCUUGGGUUCAAAUCUGGCCUUAGACACUUCCUAGCUGUAUGGCCCUGGGCAAGUCACUUUAUCCCCAUUGCCUAGUCCUUACCACUCUUCUGUCUUGGAAUCAAUACUUAGAACCAAUUUUAAGAUGGAAGGGAAGGCUUUAGAAAAAAAAAAUUAAAAAUAAAGACACUUAGGGGCACAUAGGUGGCACAGUGGAUAGAGUGCAGAGGUAGGAAUAAGGAAGACCUAAAUUCAAAUCCAACCUCAGAGACUUCCUAAACUUUGUGACCCUGGACAAGUCACUUAACUUCUUUUUGUCUCCGUUUCCUUAUCUUUUGAUGGGGAUAAUGGUAGCACAUACCUCCCAGGGUUGUUGAGAAGCUCAAAUGAGAUCAUUAUCAUAAAACACUUAGCACAGUGCCUGGCACAUAGUAGGUGCUAUAUAAAUGCUAACUAUUAUCACUUUCCCUUAAACCAUUACCAUGUGCAAUGAAUAAUGUCCCAGAACCUCAGAGUUGGAAGGAGAACGUAAGCAAGACAGCCUGGUCCCACACGGGAUCCUCAUCCGGCUUGGCUUGAAGAUGGCCUGUGGGCGGCCCCCACCACCUGUCCCCACUUCCUGAGGCAGCCUGGCCUGCCCUGGGAUGGCCCACAGUUUUUCUACGUCUUUUCUACGUCUUUCUCACUUCCUUGCGAUGCCCAGCCAGUCCUCUGCAUUCUGCCCUCUGCAGCCAACCAGAGCACAGCUAAUGCCUCGUCCACAGGGCAGCCCAGACAAUCCUGGGGCUGUUCUCUUAAAUGAAGCAGUUGCGAUCCUCCUUCAGGACUGUUUACCAACUAAAUCAACUUAGAGCAUUGAACAAAGCUUUGCCCUGGAGCCAGGUGCUACAGGAGAUGGGAGAGACAUCUGGGCCAGGGCCCGGAGGCUGAGGCAAUGAAAGGCCAAGAGGCUCUGGAUUCUGGGACCCAAGUCAACAGCCACUCGUUUCUGGGACGUUCGUGCCCUGGGACUUUUAGCACUCUUCCUGGAGCCGUGGGACCCCCUAUCAGAGCCUCGGCUGCAGGGCCACAAUCACCCAUAACAUGUACAUCCUCCGGUUGCUUGGAGAUGACAUUCAAACCAGAUAAUGGGUCUAAAGGACUUGAGGCAUGUUGAAGGUCUCGACAGAGAGCCGCCUAUCAAUCCAGCAAUUAAUAGGCAUUUACCCAUCGCCUACUGUGGGCCAGCAACUGUAUUGGGCCUUGAGACUACAAAGAAAAAAGAAAACAGCUCCCUGCCCUCAAGAAGCUUCGAUUUGUUAUAAAAAGUUCAUUCUGAAGCGAUCAAAUAGCGAGUGGAAUAGACAUUUCCAUAUACACUACGAGACAGUUCCGUCUUGACUCCCUCUAUACGUUCAAAUAAUGCUCUCACACUUGCGGCCUGCUGGCAUGCCAGCUCAGCUCUGUUCAUCCUCCUAUCGUGUGACAGUGGGCACAUCUUCUGUCUUCUCCUGGCCAAAGAUCUGAAGGUCUUCUGACUUUUUAUUUCAACGUUACCUAUAUAUAUAUUUUUUUUUCUUCGCUUUAUUUUUUCAACCCCUUACAUCCCAUCUUGGAAUGAAUGCUGUGUACUGGUUCCAAGCCAGAAGAGUGGUAAGGGCUAGGCAAUGGGGGUUAAGGGACUUGUCCAAGGUCACCCAAUUGGGAAGUGUCUGAGGCCAAAUUUGAACUCAGGACCUCCCAUCUCUAGGCCUGGCUCUCUAUCCACUGAGCCACCCAGCUGCCCCCAUUUUCUUCACUUUAAUUAUCUGAAAUCACAAAAAAAGAGAUUGACAGAGAAAAAUUGGCUGGGAUGAGCAGGCAAAGUGAUUCAGCCACAAAUUCAUGCAAGCAGUGAAGGAUCAGAAGGCAGCAGCUUGAGCCUGCCUCCCUGAUCCUAUUCUCAUACCCACAUUCUGAGUGAUAACCACCAGGCUCGGGGGAGUCAUUGGAGAGUGGACUCCGGCCCCAAUCUAUUCCCACAGCUGCAAGGGCCCCCUGCACUCAGGAUGGACUGCAAUCGCAUCUACUCGGGAUCCAGUCUCCUGCUGGGAUUUCUGCCAGGCCCUAACGUAAGUGAGAGCGAGUUCUCCAGACAGUAAAUGACUUACAUAAGUCUAGGCUCUUCACCCAUAACGUUUUCUAUCUGCCUUGCCCUGGAAGACAGACGACCCAAACCAGGUGGCAAUGAACACUCUCCCUCCCCCCUACGGAUACCCAACACCUUAGCUCCAUUUGGAAGAUGGUGUGGAAAGGAGACAAGCUCAUGAAGCAAAGAAUCAUUCACUCGGGCAUUCAGCCAUGCAGUGGGUAACACUGCUAAGAUCAAACUGAAACAGUCCCUGACCUCAAAGAGUUUUCAUUCUACUAGAAUCAUCAUUCCGUGGAGUUAUUGAGCUGUUCUAGUCUGUGGGGGCUGGGGUUGAGCAUUACAUCAUGGAUCUAAAGGCUUAUUUUUCCCCAAGCGAAAGUCAAAAUGUGGAUUGUUUGCCAUUAUCUUUGCCUCUUGAAUUGCUGGCUGAACAAUCAUGAAUGUCAAAAUGGAAUUCAAGUCAACAACCAAGAAAAGUCUCGAGUCAUUGCUAAUACCCUUCUCAUUCUUUAAAACACCGAGAGAAUGAAUUUUCCUUUUGCUGUUUCAAGACUAUAAACACGUGGUUUUUUUCUUGUGGCUCAAUCUCAAAAUGAAAACCACAUGGUUACAGUGCCAAGGACUAAGAAAAGCACAUUUCUUUGGAUAAAUUGUAGGAAUAGAACGCUCUCUGCACUCACCUAGAAAUUCUGUAUGGAGCUAUGGAUGCCAAUCCUGCCACUUUAGUAGAUACAUAACCAUGGGCCACAGUCUGAGCCUUGAGCUUCUUUAUCUGUAAAAUGAGGGUAAUAUUAUCUGUCUCUAAUCUAUCUUUUCAACUUCAUUUCCUAUCACCUCCUCAUCUCCCUGACUCUUCACUCUGAUCCAGUCAAGGAGGCCUACUUGCUUUUACUCCUAUACACUAUUCACCUUCUGUGUUCACGCCUUGUGGACCAGACCCUAUGCCUAAAAGGUUCCCCUUGCUCCCCUCUAUCUUCCUUCCAGGCUCAGCUCCGGUGCCACCUCCCAUUUGGCCUUCCCUGAAUCCCCUGCACCCCUAAUUACUGCGCCGACAUUAUGCCAUUACAAUCUUUGGGGGAAGCUCCGAUUGAAUGCAUGGUGGUCUCUGCAUUCCUGGGAUCCAGUACAGUGCCCCACACACAGUGGGUAACUAAGGCACAUUUGCUGAAUGGAAUGGAAUGUCCAGAAUUGGCUGGAAUGCCCAGUACUAGGAUAUUAGAGACCUUGACAGGACAGAGGACUUUUGCUCUCCCACUCUCGGAAAGAGACCUAACAUAUGGGUAGUUUUCAAUCAUGGGGAUGUUUCAUAGUAAAGCGGCAUGUUUCUGUCCAGCGGGUCCCCUUGAUUUCAGCCCCUAUUGUUUGAGUCCAGUUUUUGAAAUGUUUUCUCUUUGAAAGUCACCAAAGUGGUCAGAGAGAAGAGAAUGAAAGUGAUGUAAAUGGAAUGUGAAUGGAACCCAGAGAGAAUCACAAUCAUUCGCCCUUUCAAAUGCCUUCCCCAUCCAUUGGGGGGUACUUGAAAGGACUGAAACAUACCAAGAGGAAGAGGAGAGGAGGGAAGGCAUCCCAGGCACUGGGGGGGGGGGGGAGUCUAUACGAAGGACAAGGAAAAGGGAGACCAACUUCCAUAUACACAGCAGAGCAAGUAGGCCAGCUUGGAGUACGGUCCAUCCUCUUGGAAAGAGAGAUCAUGGUCAGAUUGAUGGGCUUCAAGCACGUAGCUGCAGAUGGAUGUUCUGCUCCAGAGGCCCGAGCGAGACACCGAAGCUUCCUGAGUGGGGGACUGCGAUGGUCAGCUUUGUCCGCCCUUCCUUCUCUUUCGACCUUCCUGAGUAAGGAGAGACCCCCUCCUGCAAUGUUCUUUCAUUGUCAGCCAAUUAUAAAGCCGGACCCUGGAGUACCAUCCACACAGAGGACCUUUACAUAUGUGUGUGUGUGUGUGUGUGUGUGUACGUACAUAUGAGAUACCUUCCUAUGUUUUAUAUCACAUUUAUUUUUAUAAAAUGUUUCUCCCUCCUCUGGAAGGUAGGUGACACAGUGGAUAAAGCACUGGGCCUGAGUUCAAAUCUGACCCUAGGACCAUUACUAAACUGUGUGAUCCUAGGCAAGUCACUGAAGUUCUGUCAAGCUCAGAACGGGAGAUAACAGCACCUCACUCUCAGGGUUCUUGUAAGGAUCACAUUAUGAUAUCCCUAAUGUGCUUAAUAUAGUGCCUGUUAUAUAUUACGGGCAGAAUAAAUGCUAAUUCUCUUUCCUUUCCCCUCUAUGUACACCCCCCUUCAAGAAAUAUUCUCCCAGGGCUACCAUGCAGCUGCAGAUCAUGGGGUGCUCCGUCUCAGCAGCCUCACAGCUGUGCCCUUAAGUAGCCUUUAAGGAUGGGGAACCCGCAUUUCUCCCACCUGUUAAUGUGUCUGCAGCCUCCACAGAUUAGUGAGGGGCCACUAGACGUAGGUCACAGGGCGCCUGGAACCUGAGCCCCAUGACUACAGAACAAGAGGGAGCCUUCAUUGGGGCCCAGAAAGUAUGGCAUAAUCUAGCCCGCUCCAAGGGCUGAAAGUUUGCAAUCCUCUGAAAUGAUGGCCAGUGAGGUGAGCGAAUGCUACCACAAUAUAAGAGAUAUGGGAAGAACAAUGAAAUGAAGCAGAGAUUGUGUGAUGAUCGUGCUUGGCCUCGGUGGAGAGAAGAGAAAAUGUGCAUGCAUGCUGUAGUCACUGUUAACAUGCUGGGCACGUCUGCUGGACUGUUUGGAUUUUUCGUUCUUUGUUUCUAUUCCAAGGAAAGGCUUGCUGGGCAAGGGGGAAAGGGGGAGAAUGAAUAUUAUGCAUGAACAAAAGGCAAGAAGAAAACUUUUUUUUAAUAGAAAAGACACACAAUUAUUCCUAAAAAGAAAAUGGCAUUAGAUUAUACCUCCCAGGUCCAGUGGGACAAACUUGGGCAAGAAGAUUCAUGGACAUCCCAAGUCCUAGCAGGGAGAAAAAGACAACAGGAAACAGGUGCCAAGCAUGAGUUGCAUAGUAUCAUCUUUAAUCUUCUCUUCAACCCUAGGGAAAGGGACAGAGAAGGGAAGGAAUCUGAGGGAAUGGGUCCAAAGCCCAUUUUAGAGCAGAGCCCCAAGCGGUUGCUGCCACCCCAUUGCUGAAAGGAAGAGAGAAGCUGGACAUUCACAGCAGCACCAGGAGAUACCUCCUCUCCUUGUUAGUUGGAAGGGACAGAAAGCAGAGUCAAGAGCAAACAAAUUUUGCAAGAGACCUGGCUAUAGCCAUGCCAAUAACUUCUGGUCUUGGCAGGCCAUAUCUUCCUAGUUAUAUGCAUCCUAAUAAGACCCAAAUCAGGGUCUCGGCUCCUUCCUUCCUCCACUCCUUUCAAGAGGAAAGCUAUGUCUAGGGACAUUGGAAAUUCUGCCAGUGAUGAAGCUAGUUAGUCUUGAAAGUAACUGGCAAUCCCAUCAAAAGGGUAGAAAGCAAUCUCACCCGAUCCAAUCCACGUAACUUAGAGCAAACCAGAGCAUUAAAUCAGAAGAAUUCACACCCGUUUAGAUGGUAGAGCCAUCUUUUCUGUUCUGUUACCUGCUUGGGAAGCAUUCUUAUGCUGGUAUAAGACAGAAGAGUUAGUCUACUGAUCUCUCCCCAUCCCCCAAACCAGAAGUGCCAAUAAACAUUGGUGACAUUCACAGGAAGGUAGAGUGAAGAACAUCUCAUCAUAAUGGGUGACACAAAGGAGAACGAUGAGCAGAUGAAGACUAGGGCCAACUUUAACAAUAUCUGGAAUUUAAGAAAUAGUGCCAAAGUUGAGGUGAGCUCAUCUAUGAUCAAAAAGGAGUUAUCUUAUAGAGCAAGAGCGAGAGCUAAGAGAGACAAUAUGAGGCCGCCGCCAGGGUAUCUUCUGGAACAUUAAUGAAACCAGUGGAGUUUAUAUAGGGAAAAAUAGGACUAGAACAACCAGUCAAGAAUCCUUGGGAGAUAUGACAAUGGCAAUAGCUCUGUUUAACGGCCUUCUGGGAAUAAAUAUUUGCUGAGGCAUUCAAGAAGGUGCGUGCUUACCAGAGCUACUGCUACCUGAUGGGGGAGAUCAUCAAAAGGUCCCCAGACACUUCUCUUUGUGAAUGACCAUGUGUUAACCACUUCAAGCUCCAUAAUAUUGUGGAGCACACUAGAAGAAAGGUGCAGUCACUCAAAGGAAGAUCCUGUUCAUUCACACAGGAAAGGCUGAAUGGAAGAAGAUCUCUUUCCUCAAUUUCAAUAUGCAUUUCUAUGGAUACUUUAUGGAGCUUGUCUAAUCACAUGUACAUCUGGGACAGAUCAUACAGAUUGUCAAUGAGUUAGAACAAGAGAACAGGAGGGAAAGAACAGUCUGAAUUUCUUUUGGAGAACAGUAAAACUCUUUUACUGACCCUAAGCUUCCCGUGAAAAAAUUCAUAUUUUUGAUAUUAACAUUCUACCAAUGCUGUUCCAUAGCAGUGAGACAUAAAAUGCUGCCAUCUUCCAAGGAUUUAAAAUGAAAGUCACACAGGAAGCUUCAGAAGAGUGUAGGGUGAGUGUGAAUGGAUGCAAUGUUUAGAAACUCUGAAUACCAUGAGGCAUCAAAAAGAAGAGGACCACAAGAGAAGAUGGGCUGGCCAGAUGGUAAAUCCAAAAGCCAUGGGUGAUAGCCUGAGAACUCCACUAGUACCCUUGCAAUGUUAAGGAAAAGAAAGGUAGACCACUGAUAUAUUGGCUGGACACUGUGCGGCAAACAAAGACAACAGUCACCUUGAGCAAGCAUGGCUAGAUUUCAACUCCCAUCACUGAGGGAAAUGACACAGAGGAUUUAUUCCUGCUGGUCAAGCCUUCUUCUGUUCAUUGUCCAGGUUGAUCCAUGGAAACAUCAUGCUAUUAUUUUUUGGUAUGAUUUUUUUCGUCUUCCUUUUUUGUGCCCAGCAUAUGUGGCAGUUUGCUUGACAACGAUUGGGGAGGACAGGAAUAUGACCUCAACUCUCUUCUUCUGGGGGGACUUUCUGGACAUCAUUAUGGAAUUGACUAAUAUGGAAAUUUGUUUGUUGGCUGAGGGUGACAUGGGUCAUAUGUAAAACCCAAACUCUGGGGGAAGCAACAUUGGAAAACAUGAGUCCUCUGGAACAUUCCUUCCAAAUCUCAGCAUUUGGACAUCUGACUCACCACUUCAAAUGGUAAAUGUUACACAUAUACCGCCUUACUUUGUUGUUGCAAAAGAAAACUGAUUUGGGAAACUACUUAGAGCUUGAAUUCCCGAAAUUCGAGAGAAAGUAAGGCAAAUCUUCUCACUGUAAAAAAAGAUGGCUCCCACAGAUUAAAACAGCUAGGCCAAGGUAAAAGAAAAAUUCCGCCUUUCCCCAUUUAAUGGUGAUUGUGCAUGAGAACCAAAAUUGUGGCUUAAGCUAGAGUUGCCAAACCAUUAAUAGUUUUGCCUUCAAAGAUUCACAAGUGGCUGCCUCCUUCUGAGCCAUGGCAAGAGUCAGAAGACCAUAAAAAGGAGCCACAGCAGCAAUGGCAUCAAUAACCAAAAAAAAAAAUGCCAGCUAGCAUGAAAACAUAGGGAGAAAUUGAGAUUGUGGUAUUUUUGCAUACUUGCAGAAAACUCCUUAUAAACACAAAUUUCCAGAAAUGCCAGUAGAUGAAGCCCAAAGAUUGCUUGGGAAUUUCCUCAAAAGACCCUACUCUGACUAGCACAGUGCUGUAUGCUUAGUAGGCACAUGAUGUGUGUUUGAAGAAGAUAAAGGCAAUCACUGAGUCACAACUGGAAGAGACCUCAGCAGUCAUUCAGUUUGGCCUGUACUUGAAGCAGAAUGCCCUUGACACCUUCCCUAACAAGUGAUGUUGAGUUUAUUUGAAUACUCAGUUUUUAGCCAGUUCUAAUGGUAAGGAAGUCCUCUCUUAUACAGAGUCAAAAUUUGAUGAGGAGGAUAAGAAGGAAGAUUAGGAUGAGAAAAGGUGAAGGAAGCAGGAGGAGAAAGAAGAUGAGCAUAAAGAUACGGAAGAAGAAAAGGAAACUGAGGAUGGGAAUGGAAUUUGUGAAGAUUGGAUUUAGCUCUCCCCAGAUUGAAGAUACUUAGCUCUUCCUUGAUUGUGAAGAUUAAGUUGCAAUCCCCUGGUUAUUUUUAAAUUUUAAUCCCAAAAGCGUUAACUCAGUAUUUAAAGUAGACCUACCCAUUUUAACUACAAAAAGGUGUUAACUAACCAAAAAGGUGUUAACUAACCAAAAAGGUGUAAACUAACUACAAAAGGUGGGACACCCAUUUCAUACAUUAAGUGGGCAGUCCUGGAGAGCAGCAUCUGCUGUGAUUGGUAGACAUAAAAAUUUAGGGGAGGUGACACAAGAGAAAAAGUUCUUUAAAUAGAGGAAACAGAGGCACACAAGAAUCAAUGAAGAAUGAAGAGUUACUCAGAGGAGAGACUGGAAGACAGACACUCAGACUUGGAGUGAAGACACUUGGCUGUGGAACUGGACCCCUGGAGACAUGCGGGAGACCUCAGACUGCUUUCCUUUUAGACAGUCACUGUAGUGAGUAUAAAGACUGACUUAGUUCCUUGCCCUUUCUGGAGGUGUGAACCUCUGAGAAAGGCCCAUCACCUUGAGACUCCUUUCCCCUGUUUGGUACCUUAGAAUUUCUGCCUGGCUCAGAGGAAGCCAGAGCUUUCUUUCUUUCUCUAUCUCUCUGUCUCUGUCUCUGUCUCUGUCUGUCUCUCUGUCUCUAUCUCUCUCUGUCUCGCUCUCUCUUUCUCUCUCCCCCUCUCUCUCUCUCCCCUUUUCUCUCUUCCUUAAUAUCUUUGCUCUAUUGUAAAAUAAACUACCAUUAAUUCCAUUUACUUGAGUAAUUCAUUUUGGGAUUUAGAAAUUAAAUCCCUGGCAACCACCAAUUAAAUAUUCAGAUCCAACCAUAGAAAUUUAACAAAUUGAAGGUCAAGAAAAGGAAAAGGAAAAGGGUAGGGUAGGCCUGACAGCCUAUCUCUCUCCUUUGAAUGGGACACCAUCAACUCAGUUUAUGUAGUGGUUUAAAAAGAGUAUAUCAUGAAGAAACCUAGGAGAUGUGUUUUGACCAGUUUGAAACUCAAUCAAAUGCAAAGAACUGAAUAGGAUAUUCUAAUAAUAAUAAUAGUCACCACUUAGCUUUCAGUUUUGUUUUUUUACCACACGGUCAAAUUGAAAAUUUUCUAUAUAUGACAAUAAGAAUCUUUGAACUUCUACUAGCUGAGAAUUGUUUGAUCUUUUGAUGUAAAAACCAGGAGAAAUAACAUUUUUACUAUACAAAUGGCAAAAGUCAAAUCUGAGUGGUGGAGGCUAGAGGGAGAAGCGAGGCAGAGAUUUACUGAUUUGUUAAAAAAAAUGGAGGGAAGGUUAGAAAAAAUGAUUCCACUACAAAGCAUCAAUAGACUCAUUCAUUCUUGUGGCAGAUGAGCAAUCUGUCAUCAGGUCAAAGAAACCAGGACCACCUAACCAGUGAUCAAGAGGGCUCAUAAUUCUGCCUCAAGGUCAAGUUUACAAAGUACAGCAAUCACAGGAGGAUGAAUGUGAGAGGAUUUUCCUUUCCUUUCCUUUCCUUUCCUUUCCUUUCCUUUCCUUUCCUUUCCUUUCCUUUCCUUUCCUUUC